rnacentral:rRNA from 1 species
CAGCCGCCGCGGUAAUACGGAGGGUGCAAGCGUUAUCCGGAUUCACUGGGUUUAAAGGGUGCGUAGGAGGGCAGGUAAGUCAGUGGUGAAAUCUCCAAGCUUAACUUGGAAACUGCCGUUGAUACUAUCUGUCUUGAAUACUGUGGAGGUGAGCGGAAUAUGUCAUGUAGCGGUGAAAUGCUUAGAUAUGACAUAGAACACCAAUUGCGAAGGCAGCUCACUACACAUAUAUUGACUCUGAGGCACGAAAGCGUGGGGAUCAAACAGGAUUAGAUACCCUGGUAGUCCACGCCCUAAACUAUGGAUACACGACAUACGCGAUAAACUGUGUGUGUCUGAGCGAAAGCAUUAAGUAUCCCACCUGGGAAGUACGACCGCAAGGUUGAAACUUAAAGGAAUUGGCGGG